UACGAAGGGGGCUAGCGUUGCUCGGAAUCACUGGGCGUAAAGCGCACGUAGGCGGCUUUGUAAGUUAGAGGUGAAAGCCUGGAGCUCAACUCCAGAAUUGCCUUUAAGACUGCAUCGCUUGAAUCCAGGAGAGGUGAGUGGAAUUCCGAGUGUAGAGGUGAAAUUCGUAGAUAUUCGGAAGAACACCAGUGGCGAAGGCGGCUCACUGGACUGGUAUUGACGCUGAGGUGCGAAAGCGUGGGGAGCAAACAGG
rnacentral:rRNA from 1 species